CACCAGCCCCUCGAGUGGUGGGGAUGAUUAUUUGGCCUAAAGCGUCCGUAGCCGGCCGGGUAAGUUUCCCGUUAAAUCCAACGUCUCAAGCGUUGGACUGCGGGAAAUACUGCCUGGCUAGAGAGUGGGAGAGGUCAGCGGUAUUCUGGGGGUAGGGGCGAAAUCCUUUGAUCCCAGGAGGACCACCAGUGGCGAAGGCUGCUGACUAGAACACGUCUGACGGUCAGGGACGAAAGCUGGGGUAGCGAACCGGAUUAGAUACCCGGGUAGUCCCAGCCGUAAACGAUGCAUGCUAGGUGUUGGGUUGGCCACGAGCCACCCCAGUGCCGCAGGGAAGCCGUUAAGCAUGCCGCCUGGGAAGUACGAUCGCAAGAUUGAAACUUAAAGGAAUUGGCGGGGAGCACCACCAGGCGUGAAGCCUGCGGUUU
rnacentral:rRNA from 1 species